UACGGAGGGGGUUAGCGUUGUUCGGAAUUACUGGGCGUAAAGCGUCCGUAGGCGGUUUCAAAAGUCUGUUGUUAAAGCCCACAGCUCAACUGUGGAUCGGCAAUGGAAACUGUGAGACUAGAGAGUGGUAGGGGUAGAGGGAAUACCUAGUGUAUCGGUGAAAUGCGUAGAUAUUAGGAAGAACACCAGUGGCGAAGGCGCUCUACUGGGCCAUUACUGACGCUGAUGGACGAAAGCUAGGGGAGCGAAAGGG
rnacentral:rRNA from 1 species